AGGCUGACUUAUGACUUGUUUCAAUAAAAGGAAAUACAUGUCUCUUUUCACAGGUCUACUCCCUCCUCCUCUCUCCUCCCCCGAUUGAGCCAUGGCAGCCGUGACGUCACUCGUCAAACCAGUGCAUUGAGUUGAGGAUAGUGAACGGCGGAUAAACAGCUCCGGAGAUCCCACGAAGUUCUAGGGCCCUGGAGGUACAAACUGCUUUGCAUUUCCGACGCGUUUAGACCCGAACAAGGCUAUUCACAGAGGGUUGCCGUAUACGUGCACUCACCGUCCACCUGGCCCGAAUCAUCAGGAGUUAUACCAAGACACAGACAAAUAGGCAGACAGACAGAGAGAGGCAGGGGCGGACACACUAGGCUGAGCUCGUGUCAAACACAUGCAGACGGGCUUCCUGAAGCGCCGGAGUAUCUGUCACCGUGCAGCAAGGCGAGUGACACUACAGGCAGGCAGAUACUACAGGGACGCUUCGGAGAGAUAGAGAAGGAAGGAGAGAGAGAGAGUGUGUGUGUGUGUGUGUGUGUAGCUGUAGCUGCGUAUUCUUGUUCUCUGGCAGACAGUGUUGCUCUGUGUCAUGUCAUGGUGGUGGUGUUACACAUGUCCAGUGCUGCUCCAUGACUGACCUGCAGAGUUGGCCUGCAGUGGAGAUGGCAGCUGGAGACAUGAGGCCUGACUCUGUGUUCAUCAGCUAAACUGCUAUCUGUGUCUCUUUUUCUCCUCUGUCUCUCUCUGUCCGUCUUAAUGUGUCUUUGUGUCGCAUUCCUUUGAGUUUGAGCUGUUCAGAAUCUAGCGGUGACUUGCUACUUCGUUGCUGACACACACACACACACACACACACGUCACACUGUGUUUGAGAGUGACGAUCCAGUCCUGCUGAUUUUUGCAUUAGGACAUCACAGGCCCUGCCAGAAGUGUUAGUGAGAUCAUAUGCUUACUGUAAAGGAUGAGCCAGCUCCUGUUCACUCUUUUUUUUUUUCACUUCCUUUCUCUCUCUCUCUCUCUCUCUCUCUCUCUCUCUCCCUCCCUUUGGGUCUCACCCAGAAAGACUCCUGAAAUGAGCCCGUCGCUCUCUCUGCUGUCUCUCUCAGGCCUCUCUCCUCCUAAUUGAAAUGUCCUAUUAAUGGCGGCUCUAUGACAGAGGAGCUUCAGAACUGUUUGCGUUUAUGACUCACAUUCUGGAAUGGAUAUAAAUCCUUUCAUCCUCGCCGGCACUAAUGGAAUCUUUUAUCUGGUGGUGAUUUUGUUGGCUGCGGCUCCGCUGUUGGCUGCCUUUUUGUAUGUUUUUUUUUUCUUUUUUCCAUUUGACCCUAAGAUUAAAUAAAAUGCGCUUAAAUUGCCCA
rnacentral:lncRNA from 1 species